rnacentral:lncRNA from 1 species
AUGACUAAGAAAAGGAAGAACAACAGUCAUGCCAAAAAGGGCUGCAGCCACAUGCAGCCUAUUUGCUGCACGAACUGUGCCCAGCGCGUGCCCAAAGACAAGGCCAUUAAGAAAUUUGUAUUCAAAACAUAGUAGAGGCCACAGCAGUCAGGGAUGUUUCUGAAGCAAGCGUCUUCGAUGCCUUUGUGCUUCCCAAGCUGUAUGUGAAGCCACGUUACUGUGUGAGCUGCACAGUUCACAGUAAAGUAGUCAGGAAUUGAUCUUGUGAACCCCACAGGGACCAAAAACCCCCACCUCGAUUUAGACCUGCGGGUGCUGCCCCAUGACCCCCACCAAAGCCCAUGUAA